ACAAUGAAUUAGCUGAAGAAUUUCCAGUCUUAGCAAUGUUGUGGAUUAGAUGAUAACUUGAACAUCAAUUUACUACAGCAAAUACUACAGAAACUAAGAGACAUCACUGGGUCUAAUGGGAAAGUAGUAGAUAGAAGAGAAAUUAAAUAAGUGUCAGAAUACAGUUCAUGAACGAAGCCGUGUGAGGAGAAAACUUGGAGAAAACGCCAAGUGAGCAAGACAAGAAUCUUGUAACAUCUGUUCCUCUGUAACAUGGAUUUCUUCUUGGAAUGUGCUUUUGUGCCCCUUCAAGGUGUAAUAAUAGGAUCCAGUUUUACUUCAGAUUACCCAUCAUCUUACCCAUUAUAAUUUAGAAUGAUAUUCUCCUCCUGAUUAUAUACAGCCUACA